CGGAGCAUAGCGCAGCCCGGUAGCGAUCUGCUUUGGGAGCAGAGGGUCGCAGGUUCGAAUCCUGCUGCUCCGACCA
rnacentral:tRNA from 1 species